CACGGAGUUAGCCGAUGCUUUUUCUCCGGGUACUCUCCGCCUGGGCACACGUGCUCAGGCUUGCUCCCCGGCAAAAGAGGUUUACAAUCCGUAGGGCCGUCUUCCCUCACGCGACUUGGCUGGUUCAGGCUUGCGCCCAUUGACCAAUAUUCCUCACUGCUGCCUCCCGUAGGAGUCUGGACCGUGUCUCAGUUCCAGUGUGGGGGACCUUCCUCUCAGAACCCCUACGCAUCGUCGCCUUGGUGGGCCGUUGCCCCGCCAACUAGCUAAUGCGCCGCAUGCCCAGCCGGUACCGGAUCUCUCCUUUGAACCCAAGGGGAUGCCCCCUCGGGUUGUCACGCGGUAUUAGACGGCGUUUCCGCCGCGUUACUCCCCCUGUACCCGGACAGGUUGCAUACGUGUUACUCACCCGUGCGCCGGUCGCCGGCAAAGAUUAGCAAGCUAACCUUCCGCUGCCCCUGACUUGCAUGUGUUAAGCCUGUCGCUAGCGUUCAUCCUGACGCCAGGAUCAAACUCU
rnacentral:rRNA from 1 species